UUUGCUUCCCAGUUCAGUAUUCUUUAUUCUAAGAGUGUUUUCUUAUCCUCUGAGGAGAAAGUUACAACUCACAAUGUGCAAAUCUACAUUUUUAGGUGAAAGAACAUCCAGAUAUGUACUAGAUUAAAUGUGUUCCAAUACUCGAAUCACAGGAAAAAGAGUAUGCUGAGAGAAGAAAGAAGUCUGACUUGUAUGUUGGUAUUCACCUUAGUUUAUGUGUUGGGAAGAGCAUACUUGAAAGACAAAGCCUUUCCAGAAGUGUCAGUGACUCAUAGAUUCAAUGUCAGUCCUAAAAGCCUUCCAGCAUGAGGAGAAUAUGAAAUGAUGAAGCAUCCUCUGCGGCACAUCUACUUGAAGUACAGCACAGUGCUCUUUUAGCACCCAUGGCUUCAGGAAUACAGGCACUGAACACCCCUUUUCACAGCAAGACAGGAUUGUCUCUUCUCUGUGGAAUUUUUUGUUUGAUUUUUUUCAUCUUCAAGCGCAGAUAGCCAAGCCAAGGACCAGAAAGAUGAAAAAAUGUGUUCAAACCUUGUUGAGAUGGUCACCACAUAAUUUUUUUCCUGCCCUGCAUGCCUGACCUUGGAUUUCUAUUCUUCUAGAUUUAAAAUCCUUCUUUGAAAAAUCAGACCACAGAGAGAGACAAUGAAGCAGAAUAGAUAGUCAUGCAACUAAGAAGACAACCUGGGUCUGAGACAUGACUGCUCAUUCUGUGGCUUUUGGUUACAGGUGUGUGCCACGGAGUAAGAACGGCAGUCCCUUCUGGAAAUGGCUUGGGAAUACCUCCUUGUAUGGAGGAAGCAGGAGCAUUUGUGAGAUUUUGAAGACAGAAGAGUGAAAGAUGAGGUGCUAAAUCUGAGACUGUGGCUGUUAAAAUGAGCUGCUGAACACCAGAGAGCAAGGAUUACUGCAUUGCCUAACAGACUGCUGCAGAACCUCUGAGAUUUUUAUUUCCAGUAAUAAAAAAAGAAAUCCAUGUGCGUCUCAA